AGAGAGGCUUCCACGGUUUACCGUUUGGGGGCCUUUUUCUUUUGC
rfam:Rhizobium sp. 58 contig16, whole genome shotgun sequence.